CAACUGGAUUUGCAGCAGAAACACCCUGCUAAAGAACAAGUGUCUUGGUUCACAGCAAAGAGGACAAAGAAAAACAGCAAGUUCUAGGGGGUUGAAUGCUGGAUUAUGCUACCGUUGCCGGGGAAAUGUCACUGUUAGAGAAUAGAAAACUAUUAUUCCAAAGAGUAUUGAAGACUGACUGAAUCAGGUCUGGAACAUUAUUGAAAUGGAGAUGUACCCAAGACUUUCGAGGAAUAAUUUAAGAAGAGUAAUCACAUGAUGACAUCUGGACCACCAUCUUACAGAACUGUAGAUAGAGAGAGCCAGCUGUAAAACCUGAAGCAACUACAUGUGAAAACUGAGGAGGAUGAUGUCCCGUUCCUUUUGACAAGAAGGUUGACUCCAGAAUGAGGCCCGGGAGAAGCAGUUCUCCAGUGAACAAAAUUCAUGAACAACACACUGCUUCCUGAUUACCAAGAUUAAAAAUCCCUUCUGGCCACAGAAA